UGGCUGGUGGCUGCGGCUCCUGGCGGUGCAGGAGGGCGUCCCUGGGCUGAGUGGAGAACGGGCGACCUCUGGAUCCCAGGUCGACAGAGGGGAGGUUAAAAGUCGAAGCUCAGGAGGACACAGCCUCAAGGGCCUGAAGUGACAAGGCGGGGCUUAUCAGAGCGGGCAGAAGGCUGACCAGGCCCCGUUGGCAUUGCUGAAGACUGUAUGUGUGUUUUUGUGUGCACGUAAGUGUGUGAGCGGGGAGGGGGAAGGGGGGUGGUGGUCUUGAUUUAGGACUCUGCCUCAACUUGGCUUGCUCCGGCACUGCAGAAAACAACAGAGAAGACGACAAAAAGAGCAAGAAGGUCAUACCGCCCAGCCUUGUGAGGGAAGGGGAAAUGCGUCUGAGGAGGGACAAAGAGGCGAAGAGGCUGUCACUGAGGAUGAUGGGAGAGGAAUGCAGCUGCAGCUUCGAACAUGUAUAAAAAGCAAAGAGGUCAACUUCCUGAAGUCAGCAGCAGCCGAAGCCAGUACAAUGUGUACUCCCCCCCCCCUACACACAGUAAGAAGGAAAGAAACAAAAGGGACGUGUAGCUAACUUCAUGAAUCCUUGAAUACUGCUACAACAGAAUUAACUGAUCCAAGUGUUCUGGUCCUGUUUUGUACCUUAAAACUUACAUUAAGUAACCUGGUGAGGAAGAGAUGGAUCUAAACCAAGAUGCACUUAACUGACAGGUCCAUCUUGCUUGUUUCACACAAUCUCCUGCAUUAAGAUUCACACAUGUUCAUUUUAGGAAUUUGAAAUUGAUACCAAACCAUCGAUACAUACCGCUACAAAGGUUAGUAAAUGGAAAACAUUGCAUAUUCUCUCAACUGAUUGACCUGAGCAUCUUAAACACCGGUGCAACUGAACCAUCAUCUGAACAUUGUGUUCUGCUUCAGGCACUUUUUGUGUGUCUGCCUGUUGCCAUGCAACUGCAGAAUCUAUUUGAAGCUUUAUGCUUUUUCCCCCAAAGUAGACUUCUUUUUUUAUAUAUAUAUAAUUUGCAUGAAAGUAAAACUCCACCGGCCUUCGGCGACAAACCUUAAUUUUGAAAAUAUAUCCCCAUAUUCAUGGUAUGAAAAACACGGCUGCAGAUCACAUGACAACAGUGCACGUCUGAUAAAUGCUGCACCGGAGAAAACACUUCUCAUACACGGACACGUUUCCUCAUCUACUGAUCCUAGGUCUGCAGCACUGCCUUCAUAAAUCUGCUCCCGCUUCAACACAAGCAUAUUGUUACUCCUCAAGCUCACAGACAUGUUUAACUUUGCUGGUCUCCUUUCUCUUCUUUAAUCUGAUUGUCUUUUAUCUUUCUCUAAACAGCCAUCUUGAAUCGGUUUUCUCGAACUGAAAUAACUUGUUAAGUCAAAAGUUAGGGAAGACCUUGUCGUCGUGGCAACAUUCCUAAACACUCCCAGCUCCUCUGGACUUGUCCGACUUAGAUUUCAUCAGUGCAAGAAGAAGACACGCCAGUGUUACUCUCCCAAAUAUACACAACCACUCAUCAACAAAACGGCUGAGGAGAACACAGAGAGAGAGAGAGUGAGAGCGGAGGUUCUGCAUAUUUCCUGCUGAGGCUUCCCUGGUUUCAUGCAACACCAACCUGAAGGACAUGAGGAGGUGUUGUUCUACACAUCUGCUUCACUUUCAAAACAGCAUGCACUGCGAUUGUUUACAUGUGCAGUGCGAGUGUGUACACGAGCAGAUAGGCGCACUCAUGUGGUCCACCGCUGUCCCGUGAACUUUGGGAGUGGUUAGGAGGGGCGACCGCACACAAUCCAAACUAAAACAAAAGGCAAUGUGCACAAACUUAAGGUUUCGCUUAUGACUCAUUAGCUGAUUUGUCCAUUAUUCAGUCAUCCAUUUGAUUUCACCGUCACCUGCCCACCUCCACCCAGACCGGUAAUAUUUGCCAGCAGGCCUGCCAAGAAACUUUCAACUUGCAGCUUUGGGCCCAGCAGUGAGUACAUUUAGUUCAGGGAGUUGAACAUGUUUUUCUUUCCAGUAUUUAUCAUGUAUUGCCAAAUUCAUGUUUCUGCACUGAACCGCAUGACUCAGGAUUCAACACUAUUUUAAGCGCAUAGGACUUCUACCUACUUUACCAGUCACACGGCAGAUUACAAGCCGGUGUUCACGGGUUAUUUUCCAUUAUUGUUAAAUGACUAAGGAUUCAAUCAGCCAGGUUUUAAUAAUAUUAAAUAUCACACUGACAAUUGAUACAUUAGAAGCCACAAUCAAACUACUGCUUGAUGCACACUUCUCAUCAAGUUAUUAGAGUCAAAUACGAUCGUUUGUUCUGUCAGAAAAACGAUCUCCAUAAAAUGUCACAUUCCAACUGGAUUCACGACAUAACUGAGCUGAGCUGCACAUAACUCAAGCUACAUUAGCUUUUAGACUCUUGCUGCAGUAUCAACACUCUUCAGAAGUACAAUGAUUACUCCUGUUACUGUAUAACUAUUAUCUGGGGGGGAGGAGGUUCCGUGACAAUAAAUGGCAUUGUCCGUUCACGGUCUGGUACAACAGAGAGUUCAACUCAUCUGUUUGCAAAGAGACGCAUCACCACAUCUAACUAUGUAGUCUGAGUGUCAGACGAAGUGAAAGACAAAGUAGGACGAUGGCGGAGGAGUGAAAACAAAAAGAGAGCAAUUGAAACUCGAAAGACGGGCUCAAGGUCAGAGAUAUACACUAUCACACGUCCUGCCUAUGCUAACCAUGACAGUAGUCGCAGCUGUAAACGAAGUAGGCCUGUACAAAGAGGAGUCUAUGGAAAGUGUAACGCAGUUCAAUGGAAACACAACUCCGUCACAUGGCAAGAAGACCUUGAGGGUCGUUAGAGUAAAGCACACUGCACCAGUGGGAUAGAUAACAGGGACAGGACCCAGACUAUGCUGGGAGGAUAAAAUGUGAGCAAAAAAAAAGAAGAUUACAUUUUUUUAAAAGUCCUGAAAGCCAGAUUUUAUUGCCAGAAUCAUGUCUCUACUCUAAACUGCAGCUCCGAGGCUAGUAAAUCUAUUUUAAGACUGCAGUGUUCGUUUUUUACCACCUCUAGAACUAUUCUGUUGAUAUGCAAUAUUAAUCACAUCCUUGCUUACUGUGCAGAACUGCAGUUGGCAAAAUGGGCCUAUUAACACUAUGAGAGCUGGAUCUUGCUGUUCUAACGGCACAGCGGAUAUUGUAGAUAAAGAGCUUGGUGCAGGGUGAACAGAGGCUUGCAUCACAGAAGCAACAGAUGCUUAAUUAAACACUGAGGAAGACUUUCUGUAUAAUAGCAAAUCAUUUUAAUUAAGUGGACAUACGGCAGAGCAAUAAUAUUUUAUUAGGGUGUAGGAUCAUCUCGUGCUGUGCUAAUUAAUGACUCAAUUACGGAUUUAACAAACAGUAAAAGACAAUCACCAAAAUCAUCUGUUGAUUUGUUUUUUGUUUUGUAUCCAGAUCACAGCAGCUCCUGACAGACGUCACUCACCUUUUGUCCAGUCUUGUAUUUUCUUAUCCUCCUUCCUCUUCACACUCUC